CUAAAAGAAAUGAUCGAACGAUAUUUUUGAAUUGCGAAGACAGAGCAACAGUUCAAAUAGAAAGUACCGUUUCAAUGAAACGGCGAUAUUGAUCAAAUCGAACUGUCCAACUGGGUAAACUAUCGGAGAAAGUUUGAGUUGUUCUGAGGAUCGGGACAAGAUGGACGAAGAAAGCAUGUGGCUGUUUAGCAACCUGUUCUGACUGUCAAUCUAUCGAUAAUCGUUAGUUCUGUUCGUUCCUUUGAGGCGUAGAUAAUCUAUAUUCUCUAUUCUAUUACAUAAUUUUAUGUCAGCAAGUAGAAUAUUUGUGUUUCUUAUAAAAAUCAACUUCACUGUGUGUUUUACCAAAUUUUACAAUAUAUGACAUGUUUAUAGAAUUUCAUUGACAGAAGUUUUCGGGUCUCGUUGUACGCUUACACUCCACUGUUUUGUUUGAUCCAAGAGCGGAGGUUAGCAACGUUGGAGUAAACACCUGGAUGCUUAGGCUGAGCGCAACCGUAACCCCAGGACACGAUACCAUAGAGGGUUCCUUGGUGUGCCAGGGGG